rnacentral:rRNA from 1 species
GCCCAAGAGAUCGGGAUAACACCUGGAAACAGAUGCUAAUACCGGAUAACAACAGAUGAUGCCUAUCAACUGUUUAAAAGAUGGUUCUGCUAUCACUCUUGGAUGGACCUGCGGUGCAUUAGCUAGUUGGUAGGGUAACGGCCUACCAAGGCGAUGAUGCAUAGCCGAGUUGAGAGACUGAUCGGCCACAUUGGGACUGAGACACGGCCCAACCUCCUACGGGAGGCAGCAGCU